CACUGUGGCUCUUCCACGAUUUAGAUGCAGCCCACCGACUCUGCUCCCCCACCACGGCGGGCUCCAGUCUGAGGCUAAAUCUACCCAAGACACUGGCUGUCAGACUGAUUUAGCUGCAAGAAUGCACUUGUCCAGGCUGAUGUGAAACCUUCCCUGUAGCAAAGCCAGCCAGAAUGGAGUUCACAGCCGCAGUGUGUCUGGUGACCCACAGGGACCAUGAUGAAAAUUCAUCUUCCAGAAAGUCCCAGAGCGUCCAGACCUCCUGAAAAGACCAAGAUGUAAGGUGUCUGCUGUUGAUUCCAGCUUCCACCUCAGUGACAGUGCAAGCUCAGUGAACUGUUCAAGGAGGCUACUGAUUCUGGCCCUGUGACACUUGGUGGUGACGUGUGAGCUGAUUCACCUGGA